rnacentral:lncRNA from 10 species
CUUAGCUGUGACUCCAUACAGCAUCCCUACCUGCUGUGGACAAUUUGAGAAUCACUGGAUCUACUGGAUCAUUCAAGUGGUAGAGAAACUUUUUCUGAAGCCUUAAUUUGCUGCAGAACCUCCUUGACUCAAGACUGGAAGCCUUAUGGAGAUUUUUGCUCAUGAGUCAAAGUUACACACGCAAAUGUGACAUAUGUUGCCUCUAAAAUCCAAAAUGCUUACCAAGUGCUGUGCCUCUUUUUUAGCAGUAUGUAAUGUGCAGCAACUUGACUUUCACCUUGGAGAGACAUAUCAACAUGUUCCAGACCACUGAACCUCAGAAACUACCGAGACAGCAGACCUCUGAAAUUUUGUGGGAUUUAUUUACCACCCUGACAUUCACAUAUGUUGUACUUGCUACUGCCUGUUCAUCAGGCAUAAUCAGCUCAUCAUCAAUGUAGUACACCAGUGCAAUGCUUUGUAGAAUGUCAAAAUGAUCAUAUUAUCUGUAGACUAUAUAAUAGGAGAAAGCAAGAGAAAUUGACUUGGUUCUGAGGCAAGACUGUGAAUGUGUACUGUUGGCCCUUCCAGGUAAAAGCAAACUGUUUUUGAUAGUCCUCACUAAUUGGUACAGAGAAAAAUGCAGUAGAUGGGUGAACAGCUGCAUACCAAAGUGGUAUACUGAGUUGCUCCAGUAAAGAUGCUCUAUCUGGGGCAGCAGCUGCAAUUGGUGUUACCACCUAAUGAAAUAUACAAUAAUAUAGUCAUUCUCCAAAACCCUUCCAACCUCUGCAUAGGUCAAAUAGGCAAGUUAAAUGGGGAUGGGAUAGGAAUCACCACCCCUGCAUAUUUCAAGGCUUCAUGAAUCUCUGAAAUUUCCCCGCGGAUAUGGAAGUGCUUCCAAUUUGCUAUCAUGGCAAAGAGAGGAAGUUCCAGAAACUUCUAUUUAGGCCCUUUCUUCCAUGAUGGAUCUCAUUCCAUAAGACAAAGACCCAAAAUGGGGUCUCUUCCCAGUGAGAGUAUGCCAAUUUCACUUAUACAUUCAGAAACUGGGGGAAUGUCCAACUGAACACAUUUGGGCUAAAUAUCUAUCACCUGAUGAUCUAAGUCAAGACUUUGAAUGGUGGACCACAGUGGCAUUUUGCAACCCCAGGAAUUAUCAUAAAUUCAGAGUCAAUGUCUAGUAAUCCCCCAAAGGACUGGGUACUUUCUUUCCCCAAAUGCAGUCAUUCUAGUAAGUGGCCACAGGUCCCCUUGGAGAAGGCUUGGAGGAAGUUUGGUUUUUUUUAAUUAUUUUUAUUUCAAAUGUUUUGGGGGCACAAGUCGUUUUUGGUUACAUGGAUAAAUUCCUUAGUGGUGAUUUCUGAGAUUUUAGUGCACCCAUCACCCAAGUAGUGUACACACACCCAAUAUGUAGUCUUUUGUCCCUCGCACCCCCCAAACCUUCCCCACUGAGUCCCCAAAGUCCAUUAUAUCAUUCUUACACCUUUGUAUCCUCAUAGCUUAGCUCCCACUUAUAAGUGAGAACAUACAAUAUUUGGUUUUCCAUUCCUGAGUUACUUCACUUAGAAUAAGGCAGGCAUGGAGGAAGACUUAUGGUAUAUACUUAUAGCACUACUGCAAGAAUCUUCUUCAAAGGGUCUGGCAUCCUCCUAAAUCAAGAUGGUCUGAUCUGUGAAUUGCUUUAGGUCUAGAAACUGGAUGAGAAGCCGUAACUGCAACAGUCAUUCCAGUCGGGUUUUGGGCACCAGUGCUAGAGUUGUGUUUGUUCAUUUGUUUUUCUGUGAUACAGAUCAAGCAGUGCUUUAGUAGGCUAUCUGUCUAUUUCCUUUCUAGGGACAAAGUGGUCAAUUAGUCACCACCAAAGAUCCCUAUGGGCCAAGGCAUUCUAAUUACAGGCACAUCCCUGCUGCCCUUUAUGGCGCAUCAUCCAUAUUGUCUUUGGUUAUUAAGCAAUUCCACUUAGCCUCUGCAGCUCCAGGAUGCUAUCGUCCCCAUGAAAUCAAGAAGUUCACAGGAAUGAUAGCAUAAUCUAUGGUAAUAACUGGACUAUGAAGGUGAACAUCCACAGAGUUUCUUAAGGAUGAAGGUUCUCCUCUCAAUAAUAUAUUUCUCAGUGCCUUAGUUAAGAAGGUGUCUUCCGAGAAUUUUCAUGGAACAUAGUUUGCAGGGGUGGUUGUGCAGGUCACACAUGAUAAAUUCACUCCAACAUCCUAUCUCCUUAAGCCUUUGGACUCCCUCUUCCACAUUAUGCCAUGGAACCUCUGGCAUUUCAAUUUCAUUAAAUGUAAGCCACCUUCAAGUCCAAGUUUCAGUCAACCAACUGAGUAAACUGUUAGAGCGAACUUCAGUUGCACAACUUAACACAUUAAAUACCAAAUCCACAUCCAUGAAUUCAGAAUUAUUACCUUCCACCCUUAGAAUCAGCUCCCAUAAAUAUUCCCUGAAUUAUGUAAAAUCUUGCCAUUAGCAAAAUCUUGCCUUUCUUCUGUUGUGUUGCCUCGUUCUGCAUCACAGUGAGUACCUGUCCCCUUGGAGCAUGCUGAGAUUUGACCCUUGUUAUGGAUCUAGUGGUAACAAAGCGUGCUUGUGGCAUCUCCUGAGGAUAAUGGUCAUGCUAUCUCAAGGCAUCUGCCCCAUAUGAGGUUAUCUCCGCAUUUUCAAACAAAGGAAAACUAACCUCCUCAGAUACAAGAGGGGAAGAUAUUUCCAUUGGCAAGGGAGGCUCAGAGGGCCUCAGGGAAUCAGGAUUCUCCAUUUUAUCUGAGUCCAACCAGAUGUCCCUAUUCCAAGUUUCAAGAUCACAUUCUUCCCUGAUUUAUACCCAAACUUUCACAUGAAAAACUUGUGAUGCUAUAAAUUUAACUGACAUUUAAAUUCUGCCACCCACACAAUUAAAUUUUGUGUUUGGUUUUGAGCAAUAUCAGCCCUGUGGCUACAUGAAAUAUGAGAUUCUUUUACGGAUGACAUGGAAGCUCUGUGGUCCUCAAACUAUGAUUUGAGCUGAGAAUUAAAUAACCUCAACUUGUCUUUUCUUUUCUAGUAAGUGCUCCAGUGCAUGCAAGAUUCAUCCCACACCACAGUCCUUGCGGGCAUCAUUACUGGUGUAAUCAUGGUCAGGUGCAGGAGUCACCUGAGUUCCCAAGACACUUGCUCCAGUUGGCAUUGCACCAAAAUCCAUUACAGGCGUUCUCAGCUCCUGCGCUCCCGCUGACUCAGGCCACCCUCACGGUGAGAAUGCAGCAGACUAGGAUGAUCAGGCAGUGUUUCAAGCCGGCCCUGGACCUGGAGAGGCUGUUGAUGGUGAGGCACAGUGGAGAUGAGCCCAGCUAGGGCAGGGUUGGGAGAGCAGCCUGGCUGAGGGUUGAGAGCAGCCUCAAGCAGCUGGUGUGGUGCAGGCAUAGACUGGCUGUUGUUUGCAUGAGCACCGGCUUUGGAGUCAGUCCCAAGUUCUAGUCCAGAGACUGAAUCUUUUCUAGCUGUGACAUUGAGAGCUCUGCCCUCAUUUCUCUGAGCUUCAGCUUUCUUGCCUGCUAAAUGGGCUUGGUGAUACCCACCUCUCAGGAUGCUGGGGAGAUUAGGAACAGUCUGUAUUAGGGACAAUGCACAGCAGUCACUAUUGUGAUCACCAGGACCAGCCAGGGUGGGGGUGCAGGCCCAUCAGACUAAAGUCAGUGUAAAGCCACCAGCCUCAGACACCCGAUGCUUAGGCCAAUGGCCUGGACCCCACUGAGCAAUGUCAGCCCCAUUGUCUGAGGGAUGUUGAACCUGAUGCUGUCCUACUUAGAAUGAGCUCCUAGAAAGCACCUAGCUCUGCCUCCUCAUGGACAAAUCAGGAGACUGAGCCCCAGAUGUUUGCUCAAUGCCACACAGCAUGGUGGUAGCUGAGCCAGCAUUGGAACCCAGCCUCAUGACUUCAAGCCAUGUGGUCAUCCAAGGACUAAAAAUUAUGUGCUUAAGAGUAUAGGCUUUGGAGCCAGACAGACCUGAGCUCCAGUCCCAGCUCUGCAACUUUCAUUCAUUCAACAAAUACUCGUUGAGUUCUUGUCAUGUGCCAGGCACCAUGCCCAGUGCAACAGACACAGGAGGACAAGACCUACAUGGCCCUGGCCUCUCGCUGCUCAGUCUGGUGAGAAGAAAUACCCAGUGAAUGAACAAGCUCAUCACCCACUGUGAGAAAGCAGCAAGGCACAGACACAGGAUGGGCCCUGAAAGACACAGGGACAGUGGGUGCUGGAGGGCCACUCAGGGCAUUCAGGGAGGGCAUCUCAGGAAGGGGACAUCUGAUCUGGGAACUGGACACCAGGCAAGAGCCAGGUAUGCAGGACCGGAGAAGGGUGUCCAUGCAAAGAGCUCAGAAUGAUGGGGGAAGAAGAGCCUGGAGUGCGCAGGAGCGUGCAGGAGGGACGUGGACAGACAGGGUAGAGCCAGGACAGGUGGGCCUCAGAGGUCAUGGUCAGGAGCACAGUGCUCAUGCACACAGCAGCAGGAGGCACUGGAGGGUUUGAGCAGGUGAGUGAUGGGAUCUGGCCUGUUUUUUCAAACGAUCACACUGGUUGCUGUUGUUUGUGUGACCUUGUUGGCUCUCUGACCUGGGGCAAGUUGCUUAAGCUCUCUAAGCCUCAGUCUCCUCAUCUGUAAAAUGGCGAUGAUCAUAGUACCUACCUCACAGGUGGAACUGGAGACUGACAUAUGACAGUCUACAGAGAGCACUGAGCAAUGUGCAUUUCAGUGCCGAAUAAAGCUUUGCUUUCUUACAUCCCCACGUCCAAAGCCCUCAUCCUCUACCUGCUGGCCAUUCAUUGCCUGACUUGAACCUGUUGAUCCUGCCUAUGCAAUGACUCCAUUAUUUCUGCACUGCCCUUAGCCAUGGGGAUGUUGAGGCCAAAGCUCAUUAAGCUCCUGUCCAUCAGAGGUCACCGGGGCAGGGGGAGGUCCAUGGAGCCCAGGGAGAGAGAUUGGCCAGGCCCUGCUCCCAAUGAGGGCCUUGCAAGUGGCCUUGGCAUCCAUCAAUGUCACGGCUCCAUCUCCUGGGUGCCUGGGAUAUAUAAUGCAUCUCAAUCAGGGGCUGAGAGAGGUUGUGUGAAGUAAUCAUUGCUUUCGCUGACUCCUACAGCCAGAUUUAUUAUGGUAUAAAGAAACAACUUAGCUUCUGGCAGUAACAGGCAGCUGGCCUAGCUGCACUUGUAGAAAUCUUAUUUGCUGGGGCCUGGGUGGGUGGAGGUUUCUACCCACACUUGCUCAGCCAGAGGCCCUGGACAGAACCCGGCUGGACCAUUCAUCUUCCUGUGC